rnacentral:tRNA from 1 species
CGGGCUGUGGCGCAGUUUGGUAGCGCACUGCGUUUGGGACGCAGGGGUCGUCGGUUCAAGUCCGACCAGCCCGA